CAGAGGGGGCAAGCGUUAUUCGGAAUUAUUGGGCGUAAAGAGCGUGUAGGCGGCCAGGUAGGUCUGGUGUGAAAACUCGAGGCUCAACCUCGAGAGGUCAUCGGAAACCAUCUGGCUAGAGUCCGGAAGAGGAGAGUGGAAUUCCCGGUGUAGCGGUGAAAUGCGCAGAUAUCGGGAAGAACACCUAUGGCGAAGGCAGCUCUCUGGGACGGUACUGACGCUGAGACGCGAAAGCGUGGGGAGCGAACAGG
rnacentral:rRNA from 1 species